rnacentral:rRNA from 1 species
UACGUAGGGGGCAAGCGUUGUCCGGAAUCAUUGGGCGUAAAGAGCGUGUAGGCGGUCCGGUCAGUCGGUUGUGAAAGUCAAGGGCUCAACCCUUGAAUGCCGGCCGAUACUGCCGGGCUAGAGUCCGGAAGAGGUGAGUGGAAUUCCUGGUGUAGCGGUGAAAUGCGCAGAUAUCAGGAGGAACACCGGUGGCGAAGGCGGAUCUCUGGGCCUUACCUGACGCUGAGGCGCGAAAGCUAGGGGAGCGAACAGG